UGAGGUAUGGCUAAUGCGGUGAGGUAUGACUACAGUGAGGUAUGGCUAAUGCAGUGAGGUAUGGCUAAUGCAGUGAGGUAUGGCUACAGUGAGGUAUGGCUAAUGCAGUGAGGUAUGGCUACAGUGAGGUAUGGCUAAUGCAGUGAGGUAUGGCUACAGUGAGGUAUGGCUAAUGCAGUGAGGUAUGGCUACAGUGAG